rnacentral:rRNA from 2 species
UCCAGGCAAAUCCGGAUAAUCAAGGCUGAGGUGUGAUGACGAGGCACUACGGUGCUGAAGUAACAAAUGCCCUGCUUCCAGGAAAAGCCUCUAAGCAUCAGGUAACAUCAAAUCGUACCCCAAACCGACACAGGUGGUCAGGUAGAGAAUACCAAGGCGCUUGAGAGAACUCGGGUGAAGGAACUAGGCAAAAUGGUGCCGUAACUUCGGGAGAAGGCACGCUGGUGUGUAGGUGAAGUCCCUGCGGAUGGAGCUGAGACCAGUCGAAGAUACCAGCUGGCUGCAACUGUUUAUUAAAAACACAGCACUGUGCAAACACGAAAGUGGACGUAUACGGUGUGACGCCUGCCCGGUGCCGGAAGGUUAAUUGAUGGGGUUAUCCGUAAGGAGAAGCUCUUGAUCGAAGCCCCGGUAAACGGCGGCCGUAACUAUAACGGUCCUAAGGUAGCGAAAUUCCUUGUCGGGUAAGUUCCGACCUGCACGAAUGGCGUAAUGAUGGCCAGGCUGUCUCCACCCGAGACUCAGUGAAAUUGAACUCGCUGUGAAGAUGCAGUGUACCCGCGGCAAGACGGAAAGACCCCGUGAACCUUUACUAUAGCUUGACACUGAACAUUGAGCCUUGAUGUGUAGGAUAGGUGGGAGGCUUUGAAGCGUGGACGCCAGUCUGCGUGGAGCCAACCUUGAAAUACCACCCUUUAAUGUUUGAUGUUCUAACGUUGGCCCCUUACCGGGGUUGCGGACAGUGUCUGGUGGGUAGUUUGACUGGGGCGGUCUCCUCCCAAAGCGUAACGGAGGAGCACGAAGGUUAGCUAAUCCUGGUCGGACAUCAGGAGGUUAGUGCAAUGGCAUAAGCUAGCUUGACUGCGAGCGUGACGGCGCGAGCAGGUGCGAAAGCAGGUCAUAGUGAUCCGGUGGUUCUGAAUGGAAGGGCCAUCGCUCAACGGAUAAAAGGUACUCCGGGGAUAACAGGCUGAUACCGCCCAAGAGUUCAUAUCGACGGCGGUGUUUGGCACCUCGAUGUCGGCUCAUCACAUCCUGGGGCUGAAGUAGGUCCCAAGGGUAUGGCUGUUCGCCAUUUAAAGUGGUACGCGAGCUGGGUUUAGAACGUCGUGAGACAGUUCGGUCCCUAUCUGCCGUGGGCGCUGGAGAAUUGAGGGGGGCUGCUCCUAGUACGAGAGGACCGGAGUGGACGCAUCACUGGUGUUCGGGUUGUCAUGCCAAUGGCACUGCCCGGUAGCUAAAUGCGGAAGAGAUAAGUGCUGAAAGCAUCUAAGCACGAAACUUGCCCCGAGAUGAGUUCUCCCUGAGACUUUAAGUCUCCUGAAGGAACGUUGAAGACGACGACGUUGAUAGGCCGGGUGUGUAAGCGCAGCGAUGCGUUGAGCUAACCGGUACUAAUGAACCGUGAGGCUUAACCUUACAACGCCGAAG